rnacentral:rRNA from 1 species
GAGCGCAAAGCUCAAAUUUGAAAUCUGGCUCUUCAGCGUUCGAGUUGUAAUUUGAAGAUGGUUUCUUUGGGGUGGCUCUUGUCUAUGUUCCUUGGAAAGGACGUCAUAGAGGGUGAAAAUCCCGUCCGAUGACUGCCCAUUCCUCUUAAGGGGUCCUCCAAAAAGCGAGUUGUU